rnacentral:rRNA from 1 species
CCUUUGUACACACCGCCCGUCGCUACUACCGAUUGAAUGGCUCAGUGAGACCUCCGGACUGGCCCAGUGAGGUGGGAAACUACCCCACAGGGCCGGAAAGCUGUUCAAACUCGGUCAUUUAGAGG